AGUGAACGCUGGCGGUAGGCCUAACACAUGCAAGUCGAACGGCAGCACAGUAAGAGCUUGCUCUUACGGGUGGCGAGUGGCGGACGGGUGAGGAAUACAUCGGACUCUACUUUUUCGUGGGGGAUAACGUAGGUAAACUUACUCUAAUACCGCAUACGACCUACGGGUGAAAGCAGGGGAUCUUCGGACCUUGCGCGAUUGAAUGAGCCGAUGUCGGAUUAGCUAGUUGGCGGGGUAAAGGCCCACCAAGGCGACGAUCCGUAGCUGGUCUGAGAGGAUGAUCAGCCACACUGGAACUGAGACACGGUCCAGACUCCUAAGGGAGGCAGCAGUGGGGAAUAUUGGACAAUGGGCGCAAGCCUGAUCCAGCCAUACCGCGUGGGUGAAGAAGGCCUUCGGGUUGUAAAGCCCUUUUGUUGGGAAAGAAAAGCAGCAGGUUAAUACCACGCUGUUCUGACGGUACCCAAAGAAUAAGCACCGGCUAACUUCGUG
rnacentral:rRNA from 1 species